rnacentral:tRNA from 1 species
GUUCAUAACCUCACGCAUAAAUCCUUUCUCUGACUUAAGCAUCGAAGGAGUGACGAAGACACACCUCGACGCCUUAGUUUCAAGUAUUGGAAGAUCUUGCUCGUGGUCAAGCUCAGUCAUCAAACUCAAGAAAUAACAGGUGCGAUUUUUGGUAACAUCAACCAUGAAUCUAUUUUAUUUGGUCUUUAUUGCUAUAGGGUUCAAUACAUUCAAUCGACUUCACCAUACAUGACAUGCAUCAUCAUUUGGCAUAUGUCAAAUUUUGAUUCUUGAGUGCUUUAUUUUUGUGGAUGGCUUGUCUAAAUUUUAGUUAAACAGCCUAUUGUUUUUUGCUUCAAAUUCUUAGUCCGCUUUCACUCCUAACUACUUGUAAUCCAAGCGAUUAACCAAUUUAUUUUCCAAGGCAAAUAAAGAUUCUUAAAAAAGACGUAGUUCUAUAUAUUUUUCUUUUUUGCUUUUUCAAUUUUGCUCCAUCAAGGAUAGAAUACCAAUUAUGGUGAUAAUACAAUUGGAGGAAGUUAUGAUUUAUAAUAGAAACGUAAAAGCCGAUCCAAGAAAGGUAAAUAAAAAAAUAAAAAAUAAAAACGACUCCGCUGGGGAUCGAACCCAGAAUCUCUGGUUCCGUAGACCAGCGCCUUAUCCAUUGGGCCACGGAGUCAACUCCUCCCAUUCGAGCUAGUAAUCUUUUAAUCUGUAGUUAAAAGCUCCACCACAAUCUUUUGGACAGCCUUACAAAAAUCUAGUUGAUUAUAUACUAAAUGAACUCAACUCGUACAAACAUUAUUUCUUAUUUUUUUCUUUUGAUAAUAAUUUCUUUUGGCUUAAGAGUUCGUACAUGCAAUUUAGCUUUUCUUUGUCAAUCAUUCUACCACAUUAUUUUUCCUACAGUAUUUAUUUUCAACCACAUAUUCUUCAUUAAAAUAAUAUUAUACAUAAAUCAAAAAAAUUUUUUCCUUUUUAACCAUACAUUUCAAUAUUAAUCACUUCUAUAAUACAAUUUUUUGAAAAUUAGGCCCUUACUAAUGGCUGAAACCAACCUGAGUUUUUGUUUCCUACAUCGAUGGAUUAUGCUCUUCAUUUGUUAAAAGGUCUAACGAAAUUAUUAUUUUUAACUAUCAAACACUUUUUGUGACAAUUCUAACCUACGACGUCUGUCAUCUUUGAUGUCGAAUUCAAUAAUUGCUAUAAUCAUAUUAUGACACAUGUGCUUUAACAAAAAAAUUCCAUGAAUCUUACAAUAUGAGUAGUUCGAUAGAUAUCUUGUGCUAGCACAAAAUUCAUGUAGUACUUCUCCAUUUUGCUACCGGUUUUUGUUUUAUGCAUUAUUUUCUCUUCAACUCCUUUUUUAUUUGGUUAAUGCGAAUCUUUAUGCAGAUUCAAGAGUUUUCAGCAGAGUUCAAUUUCCAACUUGAAGGAAAAAAUUGCAUACUUUGCAAGUUCCAUUUGGUAUUUCCCAAUGGAAAUGCAUAAAACCUAAGAUAUCAAUGAAAAACGAACAAGAAAAAGUGAAAAACUAUGCAAGAUUCUUUAAACCAGAACUAUUUUACCAUGAAUAGUUUUUUCAGAAAAAUACUCAAGAAUGAAAAGAAAAACAGAGGAGAUAGAGGAAAUCAGAAACACACCUUCAUUGAAUAACAGACUUGGCUAUUAAACAGCCUUACAAAUAAAACUGAAAUAAACAUAAACAUAGCCCACAUUUUACAACUCUUAUAACGCGGCAGGAAGACUAAAUCAACAAUUAACAAAUACCAAAAUAAGGGGACAUUACAGAUUUGGUGGUAACUAACCACUUGACCACUAAAGUAAGCAUAAAACUAACAUUUCCUUCCUUAAAUCGAAGGCUAUGAGCUUCAGUUUACAUCAUUCUCAGAACAAAUUCCCAAUUGUUCUCGCAGCUUGGCAAAGGUGUUCGGCUUGAGUGGCUUAGUCAUUAUAUCAGCCAAUUGAUCUUGUGUAGCACAGUGCAGAACUCCACAAUACCAUCCUUUGUAAGAUCUUGAAGAAAAUGAAAACGAACAUCUAUGUGGUUGCUUCAACCAUGCAUUACAGGAUUUCUCGAAAGCUUGAUUGUAGAACUGUUAUCACAUUGAAUUACACAUGAUUUGCUUUUGAUUUUGAUCUAGUUUUCCCGAAACUUUUUUUAGCUAUACUGCCUGACAUGCACAAGAAGUUGCAGCAAUGAAUUCUGCCUCUGUGGUAGAUAGACUCACCACUGUUCAUUUUUUUGAUGACCAAGAAAUUGCCCCUGAACUUAACAGAAAGACAUAGCCUGGUGUAUUCUUUCUAUCUUCUAAAUCACCAGCAUAGUCACUAUUAGUGUAAGCAACAAGUUCAUCAUCUCCUCCAUUUCUAUAAAAAAAAUCCCAAAAUCAAUUGUCCCUUUUAAAUAACGCAACACCAUUUUUGCUAUCUGUAGAUGUAGUUUAGUAGGAUUUUCCAUAUACCUACUAAUAAUGCUUAUUAUUAACGUUAAAUCUGGUCGAGUAGCUAUGAGGUACGUGAGACUUCCUACAAUUUGCUUAUAGUACGUCUUGUCCACUUUAACUCCUCCUCCAUCCUUCAUAAGCUUGCAACCAGGAACAAUGGGAUAAACAACAGAAUUACUUUUAUCCAUUCCAAACCUGUGUAGUACCUCAGGUAUAUUUUUUCUGGUUAACAAAAAUACCAUCAGAUUUUUGCAACACUUCAAGACCAAGGGAGUAUCUCAUUUUACUAAGAUCAGUCGUAUUAAACUCAUGCUUCAUUGAAUGCUUAAAUUCUGUAAUCAUUGAUUCAUCAUUUCCAGUACAGAUUAGAUCAUUGACAUAAAAACUUACUAUCAAAACUUUACCUUCCUUGUUAGUUUUGAUGAAUAAAGUAUGUUCGUAGUCACACUUUUCAAACAUUUCCUUCAUGAAAUAUGCUUCUAGGCGACUGUACCAAGCACGAGGAUGCUUGCUUAAACCCAUAAAGUGCCUUCUAUAGCUUAUAAACUUUUUGCUCAUUUUCUUUUUGCACAUAACCACAAGGUUGCUCUACAAAGACUUCUUCAUUCAACUCACCAUGUAAACAUGAAGAUUUUACAUCCAAUUGAUAAAUGGACCACCCUCUUUGGGCUGCAAAUGCAAUCACCAAGCGGAUUGUCUCCAUACGUGCCACAGGCGCAAAAACCUCAGUAUAGUUCACCCCAUAUUGCUGUGUGUAACCUUUUGCUGCAAGUCGAGCUUUGCACUAUACUAUUUCUCCAUUUUCAAUUAGCUUGGUCUUAUAAACCCACUUUACUCCAAUUGUCUUUCCUCCCUUAGGUAAUUCUGUUAAUUCCCAAGUACCAUUUUUCUUUAUUGCUCCCAUUUCCACAUCCAUAGUUGUCCUCCAUUUCUUACUUUUUACAGCUUCUUUAAAAUAAAUAGGAUCAGCAACUGUAAACAUGGCAAGCUAAACUUCAUUUUCUUCAUCGGAAAGACCUUCUCCAGUUUCAUAAUUUCUCAUCCUGACAGGUGGUCUAUGAUUUCUUGCUGCAGGUUGAGAAUCUGUUUCGGCUACACGAUUCCCUAUUGCAAGUUGAGAAUCUGAUUCAGCAGCACCUUCAUACUUCUUAUCCCGAUCCCAGUGCUUGUCUUCUUCGAACACAACGUCUCUACUAAUAAUAAUCUUUUGCGAAACUGGAUCAUAAAGCCUGUAAGCCUUUGAUUCUUUACUAACUCCCAACAAAACACAACUGAAGCUCGUCAUCUAGCUUAAUUUUUUUAUUGUCAGGAAUAUGAACAUGAGAAAUGCAUUCAAAAACACUAAAAUAAUCAACUAAAUGCUUAACUUUACCCCAAGCUUCUUUUGGAGUCUUGUUUUGAACUGCGAAAGUUAGACUUCUAUUCAGAACAUGCACAUCCAAUUUACUGCUUCAGGCCAAAAAGUCAUAUGAAUUUUCUUUGCUGCCAGCGUACUUCGAACCAUAUUCAUGAUAGUUCUAUUCUUUCAUUCCUCAACACCAUUCUGUUGUGGUUUAUAUGCAGCCGUCAGCUGUCAUCGUAUGCCAUUUAUAUAACAGAAGGUUACAAAUUCCUAGGAUGUAAACUCACCUCCUCGAUCUGUUCAUAGGCUUUUCAAAAAAGAACUAGUUUCCUUCUCGACACAAGUCUUAAACUUCUUGAAAACAGUAAAGGCUUCUGAUUUCUCUACCAAAAAAUAAACCCAUAUUUUUCUACUAAAAUCAUCAGUGAAAGUAAGGAGGUAACUUUUGUUGCCUUUAGAGAUGGGUGUAAUGGGUCCACAAAUGUCUGCAUGCACUAAAUAAAGAAUCUCUACAGCUUGCGUGGUACUUUGGAAAUGAAUCCCUGUGUUGUUUCCCUACCAAGCAGUCCUUGCAUAACUUGGAGGGAAGUUGAAGUUGUGGUAAUCCUUUUACCAUUUGCUUUUACUGAAGAGUCUACAAACCAUUAAAACUCAAAUGUCCAUGCCGAAAAUGCCAAAGCUGCACAAUAUCUUCUAUGAUCAAGUGGAUACUGUAGGCUGAGAUAAAGCAUGCAAGACAAACAUUCGAUUUGAGGACAUUUUCAAAUCCACAAUCAAACCUUUCUGUGAAUGGAACACCUUACACUUGCCAUGCUGAAAUAAAAUAGAAAGACCUUUUUCCUACAUCUGUCCAAUGCUUAGAAGAUUGUUUUUCAGCUCGGUUACAUAGAAUACACUUGCAAUGAUUCAAGUUAAGCCAUUCAUUUGCAGCCUAACAUUUCUUUUUCCCAGAACCACUAUGCUUGUAUUGUUGCUAAGCUUCACAGAAUCUCGAAAAUUCACUUCAAGAUCCGAGAAAUACUCCUUUCCACACAUAUGGUUGCGGCAUCCAGAGUCUAAAAACCAUAUAUCUUCUCUACUAGCUUUGUUUAGAUCCAUAUAUGUCAUCAAUAGCAUCUCUUCUUGAUUCCCAGCAUAAUUUGCCUCUGUUUCUUUGCUUGGACAUUCCCAUGCAAAAUAUCCUUGCUCGUGAUAAUUAUAGCAUUCCACUAUGGCUUUAUCUAAAGACCUCCUGUGUUGACCUCUUCCUCUUUCUCUUCCUUUAUAGUUUGCACGACCACGACCUCUUCCUCUUGAGUGAUCACCAUGAGUAAUCUGCAGGACCUGUUCUUCCUCAACAUAGGAACUCAUGCGCUGUUCAUGCACAAGUAGGCUACUUUGCAGUUCAUUAAUGGUUAGAGUAUCAAUAUCUUUGGAUUUCUCAACAGAAUAUACAACAUAAUUAAACGUAGGUGUCAUGGAUCGUAAAAUUUUUUCAACAAUAGCAACAUUACCCUUAUCCUCACCAUUUGCUUUCAUCUUGUUGGCGAUGGUAAGAGUACGAGAAAAAUACUCAUUCACAGAUUCUCCUGCCUUCAUAUGAAGAAUUCGAACUCCUUUCGAAGAGCUUGUAGAUUUGCACGCUUUACUCGUAAUGUACCUUGAUGUUUCUGCUUUAUAGAAUCUCAUUUAUCCUUCGAAAUAUUCUUGUUAAGGAUUGUCUCUAGGAUGGAACGACCUAAUGCCUAAAAUAGAUAGUUCUUUGCUUUCAAGUCUUUCAUUUGCUGGUCUUCAAUAUGCUUCCUCUGUACAUCAGUAAGAACAGCACAUUUUGCUGCUGCAGGAACUCCAUUUUCCACCGACUCCCAAUACUCCUUUGAAUGCAAGAAGUUCUCCAUGAGUAUCGUCCAAUGAUCAUAAUACCCAUAAAACUUUGUAACAGCUGGCUGUACAAACGAACUCUCUAUCGUCAUUUGUAGUUAACUCGUAGAAGACUGGUGCUUCUAUUUAAUCAGGCCCCUAUUAUGAGGUUCUGAUACCAAUUGUGAGAGAAUAUAGAACGAAAAGAAAAACAGAGGAGAUGGAUGAAAUCAGAGACACUCUCAUUGAAUAACAGACUUGGCUAUUAAAUAGCUUUACAAAGAAAACUGAAAUAAACAUAAACAUAGCCCACAUUUUACAACUCCUAUAACGUGGCAGGAAGACUAAAUCAACAGUUAGCAAAUACCAAAAUAAGGGGACAUUACAGAUGUGGUGAUAACUAACCACUUGACCACUAAAUUAAACAUAAAACUGACAAAGUGCACAUCUACGUUUGCUUUUUUGUAUGUAUUUGAUCAUUACUUCAUUAUCUCUUAACCUCGUUUUCUUUCUAAACAUUCUUCUACAAAGCCAGGAUUAUUUUCUAUGUCCUGAUGAAUCCACACGGAUACCAACGGCUACAAUAAACAUUCCUUUGAUUUUGAUGAUCUUCGAUACUCUCCAAACAGAUGUAUACCCCAUAACGUGUUAACAAGUACGAAUGAAUCAAAGCAAGCAUAGUUUAAGAGUAACUUUAGUCAAUGCAGUUAAUAAAUAUUAUAAAAUUGUUCACUUGAAUGAUGAAAGUAACGUUUGAACCCCAUUAUUUCUCAUUACAUUAAAUUAAAUUUUUUUCUCUCCUACUUUUAACCACACAAUUUUCAAUAAAAUAAUAUUACACGUAAAUCAAAAACUUUUCAAUCACUCAUUUUUAAAAAAAAAUACUAUUUAUCUCAUUAUAAUAUACAAAUAAUGGGGCUCAAACGGGGGCUUGAUGUGUGGAGAAAAAGUGAUUUGACCAUUUAAAAAUAAUUUAUAAUCAUUAGCGACACAUUGAAAUCCUGUAAUGAAACCCACAACGAGAAGCAAUUCUUAAUCAAAAUUUCUAAAUAUUUUGGUAAGUUUUCUAAAAGUUUUCAAAUUUAGUUACAAUUUAGAAAAAUAUUAGAAAACAUUUUCUUGAGUUUUUGAAACUUUGCUGAGAGCUUUUAAAGAGUUUCGAUACGUGAAGUGAAAACACUCCCACUUAAC